UGCGAUGCAAGUUCGUUGGGUUUCGGGUCAAUUCUAAUGCAGAAGAAGGGUGAUGGCAGAAUGCACCCAGUCUUCUAUUUCUCCAAGCGAACAACAAUUACCGAAGCCAAAUACCACAGCUUUGAGCUGGAGACACUAUGCACUACAACGGUUUAGAGUAUACGUGCAAGGCAUAACCUUCAAAAUAGUGACAGACUGCAACGCGCUAACUAUGACUCUAAACAAAAAAGAACUCAAUCCACGCAUUGCCCGCUGGGCGUUAGAGUUACAAAAUUAUGACUACAAAUUAGAACACAGGUCAGGAAGCAGAAUGCAACACGUAGAUGCGCUAAGCAGAGCCAUUCAGAUACUCACGGUAGACACAAACACAUUUGAAGAAAAUGUAAUUAUAUGCCAAAACAGAGAUUGCAAACUGAUGGAGCUGAGAGAAACGUUACAGAAAUCAGAACACAAACAUUAUGAGAUGAGAAACGGAAUAAUAUACAGGAAAAAAGAUAACAAUACUAUCCUAUUCUGCGUACCCGAGGAAAUGGAAGGCCACGUACUCUAUAAGUACCACGAUGAACUAGGGCACGUCGGGAUAGACAAGAUGACCGACGCUAUAUCGCUAUACCAAAAGGGUCGGGACCAUUCGAGGUAGUACAUAUCGACCAUUUCGGGCCAGUCGACAAAGGCAGGGCCAACAAACAUGUUUUAGUAGUAAUAGACGCGUUCACCAAAUUCGUAAGACUUUAUACGACCAAAACCACUAGCACAAAGGAAGCAGUAAUUGCAAUGAAAGAUUAUUUCCGAGCUUACAGUAGACCCAGAUGCAUUGUGUCAGACAGAGGAAGCUGUUUCACGUCAAAAGAGUUUGAAGAAUUCUUAGAACAGAGCAAUGUUAAACACGUAAAGAUAGCAACAGGGUCGCCACAGGCCAACGGGCAGGUAGAAAGGGUGAACAGAAGUUUGGGACCCAUGAUUGCAAAGCUUGUUGACCCGGAAAAAGGAUUACACUGGGAUAUGGUAGUAGAAACAGUAGAACACGCGAUGAACAACACAAUUCAAAGAACAAUUAAUGAACACCCGAGUAGAAUGUUGUUUGGGGUCGUACAAAAAGGAAAGGUUUCAGAUUUACUAAAAGAUCAUCUAGAAGAACUAACCGAACAACGGGCAACAAGGGAUCUAGAAAAGAUUAUAACAGUAGCAGGCACUCAUCAGGAAAAAAUACAGUCUUAUAACAAACAAGAAGCAGAUUCAAAGCGAAGGGAGCCACACGUGUACGUAGAUAAUGAUCUAGCUAUGGUGAGAAAUUUCGACACUCAUAUAGGGGUGUCUAAAAAGCUUAUCCCGAAGUUCAAAGGACCUUAUAAGAUAUCAAAGGUGCUAAAAAAUGAUAGGUAUUUGCUAGAAGAUGUAGAGGGGUUUCAACAAUCAAGGAUCGCGUAUAAAGAAGUUUGGGCGGUGGCGAAUAUGAAGCCAUGGAUAGAAAAUGGUAAUAAUGCAAAUGUCACAGGGAAUCAAAAUGAAGAAAAUGAUUGAAAUACGUAAACUUAAAAUGUUAAGAGUAAACCACACCCAACUGUAAUAAAUCAAUCUAUCUAGAAACUAACUUAAAUGUAAGGAGUUCGGGAGCACUCCGGUCAGGAUGGCCAAAUUGUAGCAAGGUAAUAAUUAGUAAGGCAUUCAAUUAGUAUUUAAAAUAGCAUACAGCGCGCAUUGGUAUUUACCGCACCAUCGAUACACUCGGCGGGAAAUACCAAUAGUGAGAUAUCGGAUAAGAAACAUCGAUAAUAAAGUAACUUCACUUUGUAAAUGGCGAUCGUGAGAGACAGACGCGCAGCUAAUAAAAAGAGUUAUAUCAAAUCGCCGGGCUUGUGUUUUUGUACAUAGGCAGUUCACCCACACACCGAUAUUGGUCACUACAAUUCUCAGGUUAGACGGCCUACAAUUUCAGAAGUGGGAUAGGAUCAACCGCCGCCAGUGAAAAAUAGCGAAAAUUUUUAUUUUCUCGUCCGUCGAAGACGCCAUCGCUGAAAAAAACAUAUCGGGCUUGGUCGGCACGGAGGAGUUCUCGGCCGCCCAGCUGCGCGGAUGGCUGGAGUCCCCCAAUCUACCAAAAGGUGGAAGCAAAGCCGCCAUGGCAGCGAGACUUAACGAAAUACCAGUAGAGCUUCGGGGACAGGGACCACCGGCAGCCGAAACAAGCGAGAGCGAGAGGGAAGAUGAGGCAGCCGCAGAUCAAGACUCGACGAAGAGCGAACGCAAAGAGGCACAACAACAACCACGGCGAAUAUCGAGCAGACGUUGAAAUAUUAAAAUUGCAAAUCGAGCUGCUGAAGCUGCAGAGCGAGAGAGAGAAGGAAGGGAGAGUAGAGAACACAACACCAGCCGCCAACAAUGACGCUGGCGUCAUGCUGCUAAUUGCCGCCAAAGACAUGUUGCUAACAUAUCAUGGCAACAUUUCUGCAAACAACGAUGACGUCACAACUUGGAUCGCGCAGUUUAAGGCCAUCACAAAAGUGAACAAACUCCAAAGUGGCGCUGGCAUCCCGCAUAGUCAUUGACGACGAGGAGUUUAUCGACGGAGUCAUUGAAGGUAUCCCAGAUGUAGGCCUGCGUAGGCAAGCCCACAUGCAGUGAUUUGGUGCUCCAUAUCAACUACUCAAGGCAGUUCAACUGAAGGGGCAAACACUGGAGCCUCGCCAACACCCACUCGCUGCUACAACUGCAACUCUUUGGGCCACGUGGCAGGGGAGUGCCGCAAGCCCAAGCGCGAAAGAGGAGCGUGAUACGGAUGCGGCAGCAUGAGUCACCAGGUGUCACACUGUGACGAAAAGAAGAACAAGAUUGCCUCAUCGACUCAGGGAGCCCAAUAAGUUUUAUAAAGUUAUCAUGUCUAGAGCACCAGUCGGAAAAUAAACUAAAUAAAGCGGAAGAGCGCUCACGAUUAAGUUCAAAUGAAAUCAAAGAAGAUGAUUUAAGUUUAUAUAAGUUUAACAAAGACAAGAAAAACAGAGAAAUUGAAUUUAUUUUGAAUAAAAAUUCGGAUUACGCUUAUGUUGGACUAAACAAUAGCAAACUUAACAUCUUUGGUAAAAUACCCAGUUUUGUAAUUAUUAACAAAAAUCGAAUCAACUUUGAAUUACUAGUAGUGGCAGACGAGUCGAUGGGCUAUGAGGCUGUGUUAGGUAGGGAUUUUAUGAAUUUAUGCAAAUUUAAAAUUGUAAGUGAAAUUUGCAAGGAGAAGGAGAGUGGGACAAAAAACAAGUGCGAAAUAGAAAAUAAUUGUACAGAAAGGAGCAAGCGUGAAACAGAUAACGAAAAAGGAAUAAAAAAUGAGUGUUUAGGAGAAGAUGAGUGGUUAGAAGAAAGUGAGUGUGACAUAAAAAAUGAGUGUUUAGAAGAAAAUGAGUGUGGAAUAGAGAAUGA